GAUGUAGGAACCUCAAGACGCUAAUGAUGAAGGAAUGUGACUUAAGUGAGAUUAAUGUCAAUCUUAUCUCAAGAAAUACUGCCGACCUAUUGAAUCUGCACACUGGCUCACGCUUCGAGUUCUAAACGGACGUCAUAGGAAAAAAAUGCAGCAAGCUAUCCCAUACUUCGUUAUACAAGAUGCUUCAACAUCACGUGACGCCAGUAAAUACAGUCGAGCUGAGGUCCAAUCGAUUCCUACGUGUUCUGAGUGAAUGAUUUGUGUUACGACACUUGAUAAAUAUGUAUGUGGUUCUUAAAUGAAAUCUCCGCCUUAUUACACGUAGUAGUUUACAGACAGACUCAGAUUGUCAUAACAAAAUAAGUGUCAUUAUUACGCCUCACCAGUUGGACCUCUAUUCGUAUAAUAAAUCGGAUCCUAUGUCCUGGGACUUAGAUAUAAAGCGGCGUAAAGUUUUAGUUCCUAUGUUUCAGAACCAGAAUUAUGUACACAUUUCCUUGGAUUGAGUAAUAAAUAUGUUGAUCUUA